GCCUUUUGUGGCAUCGCGCGCGUGCGCUCGAUACUCUCGCUCUGAUCAACUACUAGUUAGGGAUUUAGAACUUAGAUACACGCUACACAUGUUUUGGCGAUCCUCUUGUGUAUAGGAAAAGUCGUGUCAUAUUGUUUGUUACUAGCAGUUAGCACUAUUCUUUUCUUUGUGCUGCUAAGUAAUUAAAUUUAAUGAACUGUGGAA
rnacentral:lncRNA from 1 species